UCUAGCUCCAGGGCAGUCGUAUGAGAGUGUCACUAGUCAAUGAUGUGUGUCAGCAGACUGGAUGUUCUACAUGAAGAUACAAUAUGCAAUGGUGAUAUCCAGGGGGAUGCGUGGAGAGAGAAAUGAGCAUUGCCUGGGUUUAUAGAAGCAACACAGCACUUCAAUACUCUCAUGAAAGACUGAUCCUGAGAAGUAGACUGGAAGCUUGAACAGCUGACUCGUUUUUCUUCUGCAAACUAAUCAGAGGAUGCUGGACACUCCAAUGCCUCUCAUUAAAAUGAAGUGGGUCCACUUUACAAGCUGAGACUUUAAGAAAAGCACCAAAUAUCAUGAGUUGGCAACCCUGAGAAUAGCAUGCACUUGAAUUAACACUUGUGGCUGGAUGAGGGAAGUAUCCAUUUCAUCAUAAGAGCAAAUGAGUCAUGCAGAUGCUAUUGCGUUUUGGAGCACGGUGAGAGGACAUACAUCUUUUCUGAGAGCUGCCAUAUGCUUUUCUGUCUUAUGUGGAUGAGAAAUAAAUAGCUGUGGACAUUCCCUUCCAACAAUACCUUGAGAGUGCACUUGUAUUUAAAGUUACAAUGCUCUAUUCCCCAUAAACCGACUUCGAUGUUCAUUGAAAUGGAGAGAGGGCUAAGGUGAAGAUGCACUAUCUGCAUUUCAUCAUCACUUUAGGCUCCAUUCUGUGUGUCACAGUGGCCUUAUUUCAGCAUGUAUCUACGUUUUAAGCACGAGUAGUCCUGUUUAAAUCAAUGGGACUACUCGCAUGCCUAGGAACCUAGGAUCAGGGCCAGUAAGUAUUUGUCAUGUUUCAGCAUGUGCUAUUAAAAUGUGUUGAAAACCCCUACUAAUAACCUAAACUGUCUAUUUACAAAUCUAAAGGAUUGAUUAACCUAAAUAGGAAUUAAUUUUUCUUCUAUAGAUUUUGAAUGGCUUUUAAAAUUAAAAAGCCAGCAUCUGCAUUACUGACCCUCUGCAAUAAGACAGAAGAGCAAGAUGAAAGAUGCACAUUUUAAAAAUCUUUUAAAUCCAUAAGUUUACUUAUCUCUGCACAAAUCCUGCUGAAACAUCUGUCUCCUACUUCAAUAAAUCUUCGGACACAAUCUCAACUUUGGAAAAGUGCAUAUAAAAAUGUGUACAGCUUAUUUGAAAUCAGUUCAAACUAAAUACCAACAAUCCAAUGAGUUGGAUAUAUGUCAUCUUAGAAAUAUUCAAGUAUUAAAAUGUGUACAACCCUAAGGAUACAUACACAGUCCUUGUCCUUAUGCCAGACAUUUGACUGUCCCACUGAGCUGAUAUCAUUGUCUAUUAUUCAGACAAAUAUUGUGUCAUUGUUUCCUUGUAUUCCCCCAUCUUUCUGUUUUAUACUUUAAAAAUAUCCCUGCCAGAAAGAGUUAAAUUGUAUUCUGUUAGUACAGCAGAGACCGUGGUACAUGACUGGGACUCCUAUGUGCUACAGUAAUAAAAAUAAUAAAGAA